UACCUGCAGUAUAGACUUACAUGCCUUUGAUAGUAAUAGUGUUUUGUUGUUGUUGUUGUUUGUUUGUUUUUUUAAGCUCUCCUCAAUUCAUUGCUGGUGGUUGCUGGUGCAUGGAGAUAACAUCUCAAUUAGCAUCUCAACAGGGCAUGCUGUUAAAGGUGCUAAAAAGCACCACGUGGGAGAUUUCACAGACCUGGAUAAACAAGUAUCAGUGUGAUCAGAACAUGAGAGUAAUUUUUCUAAGAUUAUCACUGUCAACUCUCAUGAUGAAAGAAUCGAAGAGAACUGAAGUACAACUCCUACGCUGCUGAAGCAGUCACUCAUGUAGUGUGGAAAAAAAAAAAAGCACCUGCCAGUGGUGGCUCCCUCAUUUUUAUAGCUAGCUUCUCCAGUUUUCUCAAGUGUUCAACACAACAAGAAAUUCUCUUAGAGGAACAGAUGUGCUAGAGAGUAAGUAAUGAAAAACAGAGUUUCACUUUAGGUUAUCGGGCUGAGUGUGUUUCAUCUGGAUAGACACAGUAAGUUGUCAUCUGAGGAAUAUUUGCCUGCAUAUUUCAAAACAGAUGGGAAAUAUAGUGGUGUUCCUAGGAGAAAAAUGUUAUUACUUUGGAAAUUUCUAUUGGC
ensembl:lncRNA